AUUCCAGUCUCUGUUUUCAUCAUCAUAUGGGGUUCUUCCUUUGUGUCUUUCUGUCUUUACAUCAUCUUCUUUAUGAGGACACUAGUCAAAUUGGUUAGGGGCUCACCCUGCUUUAGUAGGACCUCACUUCAAUUACAUCCAUAAUGGACCUACUUUCAAAUAUGAUCACAUUCUGAGGGUCUCCGUUGCUCAUCCCGCGGGUUGGGACAAACUGGCGCCCAACGUGAGAGCUCAAGUACGAGGGACACAGUGAGGGACGCCGUCGAGGUCAGCUGGCACGGAAGGAUUAAGAAACCCAGAGGAAAGCAUCAUGGGAACCUGCCAAGGACUCGCACUCUGAAACAUGUGGAGCUUAAUAUUGAUAUCCCUGUUAAUCACUCUCAUACCUACGACUGACAGCAGAUUUGGAUCACAAUAUUAUGUAAGAUCAACUUGACUCCCUAGCCGAAGUAGUCCUGCAAAACUGACGAGGCCUAGAUCUGCUCACCGCCCAGAAAGGAGGAGUGUGCCUUAGAUAAAAAAAUGCUGCUUUUAUGCUAACGGUUCUGAUGUUGUCAGAGAUAAGAUAAAAGCCCUGCAA
rnacentral:lncRNA from 13 species